AGUGGGAUAGCUGGGUCAAAUGGCGGUUCCAUUCCCAGUUUUCUGAGGAAUCUCCAUACUGCUUUCCAUAGUGGUUGCACCAAUUUGCAGUCCCACCAACAAU
rnacentral:pre_miRNA from 1 species